GAUUGGUAACCAAUCAGUCCGUAAGUACCUGACUUUGUUCGCAGUCAUCUGGCGUACGGUUGUCAAGUGUGGGCACCCCAGACAGUCAGCAAAAUUCUAACCAUCGAACGUGUUCAGCGCCGUGCCACCAAGUUCACCCUAUCUCUGCCAUACCAAACAGACAUCUCGUAUAAAGAAAAAUUGCAGAUCCUUGGCAUCAUCCCUCUAUGUUACUGGUAUGAAUAUUUAGACAUCAUUUAUGUCUUUAAAAGUCUCAUAAAUGACUCUGACAGUAAUAUCUCGGUCAAAGUUUCAACAUGAGAAACAAGAAGAGCAAGUAAUGGACUUU